GACGCUGGCGGCGUGCCUAAUACAUGCAAGUCGAACGAGAUCCCGGAGCUUGCUCCGGGGGACAGUGGCGAACGGGUGAGUAACACGUGAGAAACCUGCCCUAGAGACCGGGACAACCGUUGGAAACGGCGGCUAAUACCGGAUGCCUUCACAUGGUCGCAUGGCCGAGUGAAGAAAUGCUCAGGUGCUCUAGGAGGGUCUCGCGGCCUAUCAGCUAGUUGGUGAGGUAACGGCUCACCAAGGCAUCGACGGGUAGCUGGUCUGAGAGGACGAUCAGCCACACUGGGACUGAGACACGGCCCAGACUCCUACGGGAGGCAGCAGUAGGGAAUCUUGCGCAAUGGGGGCAACCCUGACGCAGCAACGCCGCGUGUGGGAUGACGGCUUUCGGGUUGUAAACCACUUUCAGUGAUGACGAAAAUGACGGUAAUCACAGAAGAAGGUCCGGCCAACUACGUGCCAGCAGCCGCGGUAACACGUAGGGACCGAGCGUUGUCCGGAUUUAUUGGGCGUAAAGAGCUCGUAGGCGGUUCUGUAAGUCGGAUGUGAAAACUCAGGGCUCAACCCUGAGACGCCAUCUGAUACUGCAGUGACUAGAGUCCGGUAGAGGAAGAUGGAAUUCCUGGUGUAGCGGUGGAAUGCGCAGAUAUCAGGAGGAACACCAACGGCGAAGGCAGUCUUCUGGGCCGGUACUGACGCUGAGGAGCGAAAGCAUGGGGAGCAAACAGGAUUAGAUACCCUGGUAGUCCAUGCCGUAAACGUUGGGCACUAGGUGUGGGGUCUUCUAACGGAUUCCGUGCCGUAGCUAACGCAUUAAGUGCCCCGCCUGGGGAGUACGGCCGCA
rnacentral:rRNA from 1 species